AUUGUCCCAACAAGGCUGUGCAAGAAACAAUCAGGAAAGCUCAGCAGCAUAAAACUAUGAGAAAACUGGGUCUGAGAAUCCAGAUGUCCUGAGUGAGUAAAGGGAAAAUUUUCACUUCUUCCUAUGGAAGCCUGUCACCCCCCAACUCCAUCCUAGGCUGAGGAAGUCUGCGUUCUUCUCUCACGGAGCUGGAGAACCUUUCAAGUGAUUGGCCUAAGAACAGGCAGGAGACGCGAUCUGGACCAAUCAGAAACUUACAUUGAGAUGCAGAAACCAUUUAAAGAAACAUCAAAGUCCUCCCGGAGCAAAUGGCUCUUGUCCUGCUGACGCCGUCACCGCUGAGACUGCUGAGUAAUGCCUCCCCUUGGGACCCAGAAAUUUGGAAUUUUUCCUGCAACGUGCUAUGUUGUUGAGGCCACAGACUAGCGCUGGGAGGAACCACGGAGACUCUUUUACUUGCUCUCUGCCUGGGCUCUUUAAUGCUUGGCUGUCGUUUAAAAAAUGAUGACCCAAAUCUUUGCCAUUUGCCAAGUGUGAGUACUUUGUGGUAGAGAGGAAUGCGGUUCUCUUUGAUUCUGGAAUUCCUCCUGGUUUCCCUGCGUGGGUGGAAAAAGAGCCAAGAAUGUAAGUCAUUCGGAUUCUCUUAUGUUCUAAAGAAACAAAAUGAAACAAUCUAUCCUUAUACAGAUUUUUACAUUUGAUGCUGAUGAGCUUUCCUUUCACAAGAUAGAUACCUUCAUCGUUUUUCUUAUGCUUUUACUAGAAAAUGUAAAACCUUGAUUUCCUUUUAAGUGAAAUAGAGGGAAAAAGUCCUUUUUAAAAGAAUAGGCACAAGGGAUGUUUUUCUUAAUUAUAAAGACAGUAUUUAGAGUAAGAUAAAAGUAUAAUUGCAGUUGCUUAAGGCUUGAACAGUUUUCAGGAAAAAAAGUCCCGAAUGUUACUUUCUCAGUCAAUUUCAAUAAAUUUCUCAGGGGUCUAACAUUUAUUUCAACCCCAGCCAUACAUUUUCUUCCUAAGUGGUCUUUUGCAUUGACAGUAUGUAGUGUGAGAGACUAAUAAGAUGAUCGUGCAAUUCCAGUGAUAUUCUGGUUUGCCUAUCAUUUAAUGAUUAUCAAUUAAUCAUUUAAUACCCUUUAAUGGCCAACUUGAUUUUCAGGGUUUUGUUAGAUAAGACCAUACAGUGCUUUGUUAAUUAAAACGUGAUCUUGG
rnacentral:lncRNA from 1 species